UACAGAGGGGGCAAGCGUUGUUCGGAAUUACUGGGCGUAAAGGGCGCGUAGGCGGCCUGUUAAGUCGAACGUGAAAUCCCCGGGCUCAACCCGGGGAACUGCGUCCGAUACUGGCAGGCUUGAAUUCGGGAGAGGGAUGCGGAAUUCCAGGUGUAGCGGUGAAAUGCGUAGAUAUCUGGAAGAACACCCGUGGCGAAGGCGGCUCUCUGGGACGGUACUGACGCUGAGACGCGAAAGCGUGGGGGAGCGAACAGG
rnacentral:rRNA from 1 species